rnacentral:lncRNA from 1 species
GUCGUAAAUAAUUUAAGAACCAUCCGAUAAAUCCUCCUUUAUUGAUUGAUUAUGGUUCUAAAGAUUUCAUCAUAAUUUAGGAGUUCAUUUAAGGAAAAUAGAACUUUUAUGAUGAACUUGCCAAAUAACUAUUAUUAUUAGAUAAUUCAUGUACUAAUUCCAAUCAUCUACCACUUAGAUGAUUGGCUUUAGGACAUAUUUUCCAACAAGUUCAUAGCUGCCCUCAUCACGCAACGCACAAUCAUGAGAUCAUUGAGCCACUUCAUGUAAGUAUCUUUCACAGCAUGAGGAGCAUUGGCUGCAGGUUCUUCAGGUGCCUGAUCCAUAAAGACAUACAAAAUUCUCUCGUGCUCCAACAUGAUCUUCAACUUUCGAUACCAACUAUGGAAGUUGGGUCUGGUGAGCUUGUCACUGUCCAACAGUGAAUGGAGGGAUAGUGUGUUGGCCAUAACUGAAAAGAAAAAAUAUUAGUCUAUUGGUAUAUGAAUUAUUAUUUUUUUAAUCCUGAAGACAUGAACUUUAGUCUAAAGGUCCUCCUAUUAUUUUUUGUGAAUUGGUAGCCUCUACCUCUAACUCAAGGAAUUACAUUAAUUUUUUAGCGGAUACUAGAAUCCACACGGACUGCAUUCGGGAUCGAGUGUGGCUCGACUAACCCUAGUGCAUCCA